AACGAACGCUGGCGGCGCGCCUAAUACAUGCAAGUCGAGCGAGAAGACGUAGCAAUACGUUUGUAAAGCGGCGAACGGGUGAGGAAUACAUGGGUAACCUACCCUCGAGUGGGGAAGUAACUAGCCGAAAGGUUAGCUAAUACCGCGUACGCUCCUUGGACUUCGGUUCAGGGAGGGAAAGCGAUACCGUGGGUAUCGCGCUCUUGGAUGGGCUCAUGUCCUAUCAGCUUGUUGGUGAGGUGAUGGCCUACCAAGGCGACGACGGGUAGCCGGCCUGAGAGGGCGACCGGCCACACUGGGACUGAGACACGGCCC
rnacentral:rRNA from 1 species